rnacentral:lncRNA from 1 species
AAACGACCGUUGUGACUCUCUCUAUAAAUACACCUUUCGUCGUUCAGAUACCUGAAUCCUCUCUUUACUCCUAAGUUUACUUCUUACAAACAAAAAUGUCAAAUACAAAAACAAAUACUCUUACUUCUUCGGUUCUUCCCACUUGAAGAGUUCUUCUCUCACUCAAGCUUGUCUACACAUGUCAUUACCGGAGACCGAGAGAGAACAAGCAUAAGCAUCCCCUCGUAUAAGAGGUAAGAUACUCUUGUCUAAUUCCUCUAGUUUUAUUUUUUUUCAUGGUUCUUGUAGUAGAUUGUUUACUUGUGUUCUUCAUCUUUUGUGUAGCUGAACAUCGAAUUCAAAAUGAUCUGUUAUAAAUCCAUUUUAUAUAUAUUAUUGUCUUAACUUGUUCAUCAACUAUGUGUUUAUAAACUGGUUUUUGGCUAUUAAUCUGUCUUUUAAUAAAGUGAUAUUGUGAUUAUUUUAUGUAGAAAACAUGAUCUAGAUAUGUAGAAAACAUGGAAUGAAAAUUUUAGUUUUGUUGGAAAUUUAUUUAAGACAUAGAAUGAUUUUUUUUUUUUUAUGAAUAUAUAAAAUGAAGUUUUUUUUUCUCUUUUUAAAGAAAACCAAAGAAAUGUUAGACUAGGAUAUAUUUUUAUUUUUUAAUUUUAUGCAUGUUCCAAAAUUGACGAAAGAAAAAGUUAGAUUGUAGUGAAAACUGAUUUUGAUAAAUUAAUUUUGCAGAUGAGUUGAAGCAUUGAAGGGGAGACAAAGCUUUUAGGACUGUGUCCGGCGUCAAAUCAUCUGCUUUGUGAAGCUGGCCAGAGUGUAUGUAGCAAUAUUUGUAUUAUCCCUUUCUUUUUUUCCUGAUAAAGAUGUGUGAAUGUCUAGAUGUAUGUUAGGUUUUAAAUGUAUCAUGUAUGUGUAGGAGUGAAUGUAUAGAUGUAUGUGUAGGUGUUGUUGGUGUAGAUGUAAAUAGAUGUAUCAUGUAUAGAUGUAUGUAUAGGGUGUAAAACUGUAAAUGAUAGGAGGGCUUGUUUGUGAGGGCGCCGAAGAGGUGAGACUACUGUGUAGUCUGCGAGAGGAACUAUGCGCGCGCGGUUCCUAAAAGGCUAUAACGAUCGCCUAGACACACACACAAGUAAAAUACAAACACUAAAAUGUGACAAAGAGCAAACUAUUAAAAAAGCAUGUCAAAAUGUAAGUCUACACACGAAAUUGAACGCCAACACAUCAAAAUGUUUAGUCGAAACACAUAAUAAACACGCCAAAAGGAAGUAACAACACAAAGGAAAUUUGUCAAGGCGUAAAUGUGACAAGAUAGGGCCGGUUAAAAAAAAACAAAACACAAAACGAUCGCUAGUCGAAACACUAAAAAAAAGAAAUGUAAAAAUCAGAACCAGAUAAAUUAGUUUUUCAAAAUACCUUUUUUGUUUAUCUAUUUUCAAAAAUACCACUGUUUAGUAUGGUUUUUAGUACUGUUUAGUAUGGUUUCAAAAAUACCAAAUAAUUUAUAAGUUUUAUAUGGUUUUUAAAAGGUUAAACAAGUUUUAGAUGACAAAAAAAAAAACGAUAAAUUUUUAUACACUUGUUUAAAUAUGAAAAAUCUAAUGUAAAGGUAAUUUGUGUUAUUUAUAAAC